UACAGAGGGUGCAAGCGUUGUUCGGAAUUAUUGGGCGUAAAGCGCGUGUAGGCGGCUCGAUAAGUCCGGUGUGAAACCUUGGGGCUCAACCCCAAGCCUGCACUGGAUACUGCCGAGCUAGAGUCCGGGAGGGGAGAGCGGAAUUCCUAGUGUAGCGGUGAAAUGCGCAGAUAUUAGGAAGAACACCGGUGGCGAAGGCGGCUCUCUGGAACGCAACUGACGCUGAGACGCGAAAGCGUGGGGAGCAAACAGG
rnacentral:rRNA from 1 species